GAUGAACGCUAGCUACAGGCUUAACACAUGCAAGUCGAGGGGCAGCAUGGUCUUAGCUUGCUAAGGCCGAUGGCGACCGGCGCACGGGUGAGUAACACGUAUCCAACCUGCCGUCUACUCUUGGACAGCCUUCUGAAAGGAAGAUUAAUACAAGAUGGCAUCAUGAGUUCACAUGUUCACAUGAUUAAAGGUAUUCCGGUAGACGAUGGGGAUGCGUUCCAUUAGAUAGUAGGCGGGGUAACGGCCCACCUAGUCUUCGAUGGAUAGGGGUUCUGAGAGGAAGGUCCCCCACAAUGGAACUGAGACACGGUCCAAACUCCUACGGGAGGAAGCAGUGAGGAAUAUUGGUCAAUGGGCGAGAGCCUGAACCAGCCAAGUAGCGUGAAGGAUGACUGCCCUAUGGGUUGUAAACUUCUUUUAUAAAGGAAUAAAGUCGGGUAUGUAUACCCGUUUGCAUGUACUUUAUGAAUAAGGAUCGGCUAACUCCGUG
rnacentral:rRNA from 1 species